rnacentral:rRNA from 1 species
GCACGUUUCAGAGUCUAAUUCAAAGUGUUUAUAUACUCAAAAUUACUUUCAAGUCCUCCUUUCAACCAACAUUUAAGUUAAUUUUCCGUAAUUAUAAUUUUAUAAUUGUAACCCAUUCUCUCCUUCUUAUAGACUGCACCCUGAUCUGACGUCUAAACUAAACAGUUUACUUGCUAGCUCUUUAAUUUUUAAAAGUUACCUGGCGACAACGGUAUACAAGCUGAAAACAAAAGAAGGUUAGGUAUAACGUGGAUUGUCGAUUACGAAACAGGUUCCCCUGAGUGAUCUAAAACACCGCCAAGCCCUUUGAGUUUUAAACUAUGGUGUUCAUAGUACUCUGGUAAAUCAUAUCUGUUUACAUCCAAGAAUAAUGGGGUAUCCAAUCCCAGUUUCCCUCAAGGAUAUCACAGCUUCAGUGUCAUAAGUCAUUUUUGAUUUAUUUUAUUUAUAUAUGAAUUUUACUUCUUUACAAACAAUUAAUAGACUAUUUUCUUUACUUAACUGUCUUUUAACCAAAACAUACGACUUAAUCUCUUGGUC